GCAAGUCGAACGCAGUAGCAAUACUGAGUGGCAAACGGGUGAGUAUAAUGUGGGAAUCGGCCUUUUGGUUUGGAAUGACACGUGGAAACUUGUGCUAAUACCGGAUAAGCCCUAACGGGGAAAGUUUUAAUGCCGAAAGAUGAGCCCGCACUUGAUUAGCUAGUUGGUAAGGUAAAAGCUUACCAAGGCAACGAUCAAUAGCUGUUCUUAGAGGAAGACC
rnacentral:rRNA from 1 species